rnacentral:lncRNA from 1 species
CUCUAGAAUAAGAAGAAUGCCAAGCUGCAGCAAUUUGGAGUUUUAGAAAUUUGGUUACCAAGUACCUGAGUGCCUCUGCCAGCAUGGAUAAAUUAACCACCUAGGGGGUAAGGUCACAUACUGAGCUUAGUUCUGCUUAAGGAACGACACAAACUUGAAAAGAUUCAGGAGAAAAAAAUCGGGUUUCCUUUUUUCUUUCUUUUAGAAAAAUGAGAAUAUAGAACAUUUUUCAGAAUAUGAAAGUCCCACCACAUGUUCCUAGCAACUUAGCAACUAUCUCCAGGCCUCACAUGUUUAGCCCUUUCCCAAAAGUGUUUACAAUGAACACACACUGGGAAAGCCAUCUCCAAAACACUGUGAGAAGGGGCACAAAAGAAAAUACGUACAGCAGGCCAGCGUGGGGGCUCACGCCUGUAAUCCCAGUACUUUGGGAGGCCGAGGUUGGAGGACUGCUUUAGCUGGGGAGUUUGAGACCAGGCUGGGUAACAUGGUGGGACCGUGUCUCUGGUGGGGGGAGUCGGGGGGAGGAAGCUGGGCGUGGCCUGCAGCUGUGAUCCCAGCUCCUCCGAAAGGUGAGGUGGGAGGAU